rnacentral:rRNA from 1 species
CAGUCGCCGCGGUAAUACGGAGGGCGCGAGCGUUACCCGGAUUUACUGGGCGUAAAGGGCGUGUAGGCGGCCUGGGGCGUCCCAUGUGAAAGGCCACGGCUCAACCGUGGAGGAGCGUGGGAUACGCUCAGGCUAGAGGGUGGGAGAGGGUGGUGGAAUUCCCGGAGUAGCGGUGAAAUGCGCAGAUACCGGGAGGAACGCCGAUGGCGAAGGCAGCCACCUGGUCCACUUCUGACGCUGAGGUACGAAAGCAUGGGGAGCAAACAGGAUUAGAUACCCGAGUAGUCCCUGUCUCUUAUAC